GCCAGCAGACCCCAGCACUGUGUGAAGACUCUCCAAAAAUCUCCCCACUGGAAACAGACACAGAUGAGGACGCAGGGAUGCACACCCAGCGGGCACCGGACACAUGUCUGUGGAGGAGAUGCACAGUGGCUCACAGAUGCCUCAGAGCCGCUGCGCUUGUGAGGCCUCCAGUCGUGCGGUGCUGUCAGAAAUCCAGUGUCUGAGACGCCAGAUCUCCAGAGGUGCCAGCUUCGUAAGCCCCCUCUUCAUGCGCUGCCUGUUGCCUAAAUGCCCU